CAUACAAAACCAUAAAUCAAAUCUUUUUCAAACUUAAAAUCUAACCUUAAACUCCAUUUAAAAAAAUAUAUUGUAAAUCAUAAAUUAAACUUUAAACCUUAAAAUCCAAAUAUCAAACAUCAUUUCAUACUUCAAACCCUAUAUAGUAAACACAUUAAAAUUUAAUUUUUAAAACUAAUUCAUAAAUAUAAUUACUACUAGUUUAACACAAAAUCAUAAAUCUAAUCACUAUAAGUUAAAUAUAACAAAAAUAAAAUAUAUAAACCCAAAUGUUAAAUUUAAAUUCUAAACCCUAUAUCUAUACCCUAAAUC
rnacentral:lncRNA from 1 species